rnacentral:tRNA from 1 species
GGAGAAGUACCCAAGUAGGCCGAAGGGGACGGUUUGCUAAAUCGUUAGGCGUCGUAAGGCGUGCCAGGGUUCGAAUCCCUGCUUCUCCGCCA